rnacentral:rRNA from 1 species
GAUGAACGCUGGCGGCGUGCUUAACACAUGCAAGUCGAACGAUGAAGCUCAGCUUGCUGGGUGGAUUAGUGGCGAACGGGUGAGUAACACGUGAGUAACCUGCCCUUAACUCUGGGAUAAGCCUGGGAAACUAGGUCUAAUACCGGAUAGGAGCGCCUACCGCAUGGUGGGUGUUGGAAAGAUUUAUCGGUUUUGGAUGGACUCGCGGCCUAUCAGCUUGUUGGUGAGGUAAUGGCUCACCAAGGCGACGACGGGUAGCCGGCCUGAGAGGGUGACCGGCCACACUGGGACUGAGACACGGCCCAGACUCCUACGGGAGGCAGCAGUGGGGAAUAUUGCACAAUGGGCGAAAGCCUGAUGCAACGACGCCGCGUGAGGGAUGACGGCCUUCGGGUUGUAAACCUCUUUCAGUAGGGAAGAAGCGAAAGUGACGGUACCUGCAGAAGAAGCACCGGCUAACUACGUG